GCGCCCGUAGCUCAGUGGAUAGAGCGCCGCCCUCCGGAGGCGGAAGCCGAAGGUUCGAAUCCUUCCGGGCGCG
rnacentral:tRNA from 1 species